rnacentral:ncRNA from 1 species
GCACUGGCAGAACGUUAAACCGCUCAAGUUCUUUAUAUGUAGUCACCAUCAAAAGCGAUGCUAAAACUACCGACAGUGC